CUAUAAAUGAAAUUAUUAAGUCAUUUUAAGUGAUCUUUACAAUGCAAUCGUAAACAUUUGGGGUGAAAUUUCGUGUCAUAAGACACUUUAAACUGUUGCUUAACGACUCAAUAUUUUUUCAUUCUUCUGAUUUCCAAGUUAGUUUUGCAAAGCAAAUGAAAUAAAUCUAUGACGUCACAAGCUGGUAAAAUGUUUCCAAAGGUGUGGCAGUUACGCCAAAGUCGUAAAGCUAGCUGUAUAGUUCUAAAUAGAUAAAAUAAUUCAAGUCUAUACCGAUGACUCCCAUUGACUAAUAUUAUACAAAAAAAAUAUAUGAGUUUCUAAGAGUUCUUCCGGGCUGUCAAAAAAUUACCCCGCUUGUGACGUCGUCUUAUUUACCUAUCAGAUAAACUUAAAUAAUAUAAAUAAUGUCACAUAUGAAAACUUGCAAACAGCUUAAUGAGUUAUUUCAAUCCAAAGUACUCACAUUUUUUUGGCAAUAAGGCAUGCAAUGCCCUUUAAAGAACAUUAAUAGCCAGGACCAUCCUAAAGAAUCCAAAGUAUUAAGAGACUUGAUAUAUAGACUUCAAAAUUCCAUUUGAAAAAGUUCUUUCCAAAUGGAAUAUCUAAGUAUGUACUGUAAUGUAGGCUGUAUAGAAUUUGCAAGUUGUAAGGUUAGCAUGCUUUGAAGACAGUAAAAAUUUAGUUUUCCUCAUUUGAAAGAACUUUAACUAAAAAUAUUACUAAACUAAAGCCCUGGGCAAACUAGGAAACAUUGUUAUGGAAACAUUUGUGAUUCUCGAUGUUCAAAUGUUUCCCUGUUUUCCCACCCGUGGAAACAUUGUUUCGGAAAGAAAAUUCGCUUACCGAGAAGAAGCAAAAAUGUUUCCAGCGAUUUCGGAAACAUUUGAUGUUUCCCUAUGUCUCUCACUAAUGUUUCCUAGUGUUUGCCCACUCUUGGAAACACGGCAAAACAUUGGUAGGAAACAAUGUUUCCUCAACAAUGUUUCCUAGUUUGCCCAGGGCUUAGCGGUGUUUACAGCUUUACUAUUCUUG
rnacentral:lncRNA from 1 species